rnacentral:rRNA from 1 species
CUGUUCUACAAGUCCUCCGUUAAAUCCACCUGCUCAACAGAUGGGCUGCGGGGGAUACUAUAGAGCUAGGAGGCGGGAGAGGCAAACGGUACUCAGUGGGUAGGGGUAAAAUCCAUUGAUCUACUGAAGACCACCAGUGGCGAAGGCGGUUUGCCAGAACGCGCUCGACGGUGAGGGAUGAAAGCUGGGGGAGCAAACCGGAUUAGAUACCCGGGUAGUCCCAGCUGUAAACGAUGCAGACUCGGUGAUGGGCUGGCCUUGUGCCAGCCCAGUGCCGCAGGGAAGCCGUUAAGUCUGCCGCCUGGGGA